rnacentral:lncRNA from 1 species
AUACUAUGUUUGGAAUUCUACUUAAACUGGAUCUGGAGUUAGUGUUGGCCAGUGAAUUAUAUCUAAAUAAUCUACUCAUAAUGCUCAAAAUGCAGGUUUUCAAAAUACAGAAAUCUUACUGGCUUUACCUUCCUCACAUAUUUGCUAAACUAUCUCUUCAAUCAUGCGGAUGCUAACGCCAACCCUAUGGACUUAUUGUUUGGAACACGCCUUAUUGUUUGAGUUAAGAGUAAAUAAUCCUACUUAGAGGGUUAACAAAUAAAAUAAACUGUAAGUGAAAAUUGAAGGAUGAACAAAAUGUAGUGAUUAUAGGCGGAACUAAGAUGUUUUCAUGUCCAGAUUCAUGCUUAGAGAAGAUAGUUGGUUAC